rnacentral:ncRNA from 1 species
CAGAGUAGGCGGCUGUGCGUUUUCUCCAUUUGGAGAACAGUGUCCCGACGACGGGGAGUUGCGUCGGGGACGAAAUGCUUUGAAGUUCAAAGCUGCGGUACAGCCCCCGCAUCCCGCUG